rnacentral:rRNA from 1 species
AAGUCGAGGGGUAGAGGGUGCUUGCAUCCUUGAGACCGGCGCACGGGUGCGUAACGCGUAUGCAACCUGCCUUCCACAGGGGAAUAGCCCAGAGAAAUUUGGAUUAAUGCCCCAUGGCACAGCGAGACGGCAUCGUCUUGCUGUUAAAGUAACAACGGUGGAAGAUGGGCAUGCGUCCCAUUAGCUAGUUGGUAAGGUAACGGCUUACCAAGGCUAUGAUGGGUAGGGGUCCUGAGAGGGAGAUCCCCCACACUGGUACUGAGACACGGACCAGACUCCUACGGGAGGCAGCAGUGAGGAAUAUUGGUCAAUGGUCGCAAGACUGAACCAGCCAUGCCGCGUGCAGGAUGACGGUCCUAUGGAUUGUAAACUGCUUUUGUACGGGAAGAAACACUCCUACGUGUAGGGGCUUGACGGUACCGUAAGAAUAAGGAUCGGCUAACUCCGUGCCAGCAGCCGCGGUAAUACGGAGGAUCCGAGCGUUAUCCGGAAUCAUUGGGUUUAAAGGGUCCGUAGGCGGCCCUGUAAGUCAGCGGUGAAAUCU